UAUACGCCUUAUUUUUAGUCCAGAUUUUUAGUAUUCGUAUUGUUAUCUUAGAAAGUCUUACUGAUUAAAAUACUACAAUAGGUAACAAUUUGACAAUUUAGUAGUGUCAACCCUGUGGUUAUGACCCGUGUAUAUAGCAUAUUAGUCCUGAAUACAACGUUUGGUGGUGCGCCUGUCAGAUGCGGAACGUACAGAUAAGGUAAUAGGUAACAGGUAAAUAUACUAUUGGUAUCGGUAGCGGACUCGACCCGGAACUUUUUAAUUAUUGGCAAUAUUAAUUACGUGGAAAACAAAAGGGCCUGGAGUGGUGUAAUUUUUAAACUACACCUUUGUACUAUAUUUUAUAUAUAAAGUUGAUUUCUGUGAUUCGUCGUUUUUACGUGAUGACGGCUGACAAAUUAUAAGAUACACAGUUUUUCUCUGCUUUCAAGUCUUUCUGUUUGAACCCGUAGAACUGGAACUUAUCAGUUAUUGGUAAUAUUAAUUAUUUGGAAAACAAAAGGUCCCUGGAAUGGAGUAUUUUUUAAUCAACAGCAUUGUCCUAUAUAAGUUAUAAAUAAAGUUGAAUUCUUUGCUUUGCUGUUUUACGUCAUGCCCACUUACAAAUUGUAAACUGUACCUAUACACCUUAUUUUAAGUCCAGAUUUUUAGUAUUCGUAUUGUUAUCUUAGAAAGUCUUACUGAUUAAAAUACUACAAUAGGUAACAAUUUGACAAUUUAGUAGUGUCAACCCUGUGGUUAUGACCCGUGUAUAUAGAAUUAGUCCUGAAUACAACGUUUGGUGGUGCGCCUGUCAGAUGCGGAACGUACAGAUAAGGUAAUAGGUAACAGGUGAAUAUACUAUUGGUAUCGGUAGCGGACUCGACCCGGAACUUCUUAAUUAUUGGCAAUAUUAAUUACGUGGAAAACAAAAGGGCCUGGAGUGGUGUAAUUUUUAAUCUACACCUUUGUACUAUAUUAGUUAUAUAUAAAGUUGAAUUCUGUGAUUCGUCGUUUUUACGUGAUGACGGC
rnacentral:lncRNA from 1 species